CUCCUGCAUGUGACGGACACAGCACUGAUCCUGGCAGCUCCUUACCCCCAGCAGCCCGAAACUCACUCCUUAAUUACACAAGGGAAACCUUUUACCUCCGCAGCCAGAGUCUGGGGGGAAAGGCAGGCGUGGGAAGAUGGGUUCUCUACCUGGCCAGUGCCAUGUUGCCUGUUUCUUUACUGUAACUGUGGUGACAAAGAAAAGGGAAGAUGGAGCCUCCAUGUUGAACAUACCUGGCCCCCAGCACUAACUCCCUCUCUGGAUAUCUGGAACAAGGAGGACCUUAAACUUAACAAUAAAGCCAAUGAUGGUUCUACCAGUCUCCCCAAAGCCUCAAGUUUAAAAGCCAUAUGAACUGGCUGAUAGUGGAAAAUGGAAGCCAUGAGGAAAUCAGAUUAGAGUACUACCUGGUGAAGCCUGGAGGACCUACCAAGAAAAGCAAACUUGGAUCUUUGCAAGGUUAGAAGAACGAAUGGGAUCCAAGAAAAAGACUGGUCAUAUUCAACGGCUAAGAGCGUUGGAGAAGGCCUGUGGAGUCUCAGCAGGUCAGGUCCAUGACUCAUGAGUAGACACCUGUGUUUCUACUGCCUGGUGCCAUAAUCAUAAACAAGGAAGAAACUGAGGACAGGAGGGGCCAAACAAGUUACAGUUUCAUCCCUCCAGAGAGCCAACAGAGUAUUUUGCACGAAGUUGAAGCUAAACAGGUAUUAUGUCCUAUCUCUGGACUGAAUGACUAGAUGCUACUCAGCUUCUGAACUAGAGGAAGCCUGGGACCUUGACCGCACUAAUGCUGAUGACAGCGGAUUUGCAAGUGGCUAGAGGUACCAGAUUUAGCAAAUCAAAAUAUAGGACGUCAAGUUAAAUUUAAGUGUAAGAUAAGCUACGAAUACCUUUUCUAGUAUUAGUACGUCCCAUGCAAUAUACUAGAAAUGUUAUUCGUUAUUUAUGUUAAAUUUAAUUUUAUUAGGGCAUCCUAUAUUUUACCUGUCAAUCCAACCCAUGACCUAGGCAGACACUGUAGAAAAACAAAAGGAGAAUUAAGGAGAUAAAUGAAACACAGGGUGAGCUGAAAAGAGGUGCUCUGUGAAUUUGAGGGUCCAGUAGGAGCUGACUUGUAGGUACUUGGUCUGUUUUGAUGCCCACAACAACCUUGGGGAAGGGGCGGAAUAGCAGAGGGGUAAGCUCUCUGCCCCCCACCAGGGUUCUGCAGGACGCCAGGGCUUUUAUCAGCACCCCUAUGUUCACAUCCUGGCUGCACCCUCCUUGGUUGUAUAUACUCUGGAUAAUUCACUUAAUUUAAAUCUUGCUGCUUUUAUAAAAUUGAUAAAAAGUUAAUAGUGACACUGAUCACACUGAUGUCCCUCAAUGAAUUAUCAAUAUGUUUUUUCUUCCCACCUAUAUUCUUUAUUGAACUCUGUUAUUUUUGAUCCUGGUCUAGAGUAAGCAUUAUGACCAUGCAAGAGUGAAAUGAAAUUUUUAAAAAUAAUUUUUUAAUGUUUUCUGAAUGCUGGGUGUUUUCAAUGAUCAUGCAUGACUGGCAGCAAAGAGGAACGAGGAUGGAUUCGAUAAGGUGCAACAAGUCCUGAACACACACAGAGAACUGGCUGUGAAUCCUGUUUCUGCCACUCACCACUUACUUGUUGGUGAAAAUGCUCAGGAUGUUCACUGCAGCCUGCCUCACCCUGGAAAAGAGAUGUGAGGAUAAUGAGAAAGAAGAGUAUGUUCAGUGCGGAGCAUGCAAAUUUGCAUGAAAACUUCCCAGGCAAAGCAGGAAAGAAACCAGACCUCUUUUCUGCACAAUAAUGGGGCCCACUAACUCUGGGGAAAAGAGUAAUCAGCAAAUGCCUUUCCUUUCUCCUGCUGAUGUUUUGCCCGUACUCAGACCCCUUGACUUCUUAGCUUCUACCCAAAGUGAGCUUGUCAUCAAAGUUCUCCAAAAAUCUGCAGUGUUCUCUUGAGCAAAUCUGUUCAAUACACUGAUUGAGGCCAGGCGCGGUGGCUCACAC
rnacentral:lncRNA from 1 species